CCAACCCCAGUUCUCCUUUAUGGAAGUAAUCAGGCUUACCAAUUUCCUGUGUCUCCUUCCAAAAAAAAUUCUCAACAACAAAUACACAUUUAUAUACAUGAGUCUGUUGUAUAUAGCACAUGUUGUAUAUAGUACCUAGAAAAAUGCAAAAAAAACUUGUAUGUAAGGUUUAAAAAAUAACUCAUUAAUACCCAGUUGAAGGAAUAGAAGUGAGAAGAUCCCUCCCCAAAGCCCCUGUCUGUGCCUCCCUGAACAUAGCCAGCUUAUUCCUAAACAUGCUCAUGAUUCUGACUUUAGUGAUAGCCAUAUCCUUGCCUUUAUUUUAUCCUUGCCUUUAUUUUAUUUUUGUUUUUGAGAGAGUGUCUCAGUGUUGCCCAGGCUGGAGUGCAGUGGCUUGAUCAUGGCUCACUGCAGCCUCAACCCCCACUCAGGGAUCCUCCCACUCAGCCUCCAGAGUAGCUGGGACCAUAGCACCACUUCCAGCUAAUUUUUUUUUUUUUUUUUUUUUUUU
rnacentral:lncRNA from 10 species